UACGUAGGGGGCAAGCGUUGUCCGGAUUUAUUGGGCGUAAAGAGCGUGUAGGCGGUUUGGUAGGUCCGCUGUGAAAACUCGAGGCUCAACCUCGAGACGCCGGUGGAAACCAUCAGGCUAGAGUCCGGAAGAGGAGAAUGGAAUUCCUGGUGUAGCGGUGAAAUGCGCAGAUAUCAGGAAGAACACCCGUGGCGAAGGCGGUUCUCUGGGACGGUACUGACGCUGAGACGCGAAAGCGUGGGGAGCGAACAGG
rnacentral:rRNA from 1 species